rnacentral:rRNA from 1 species
CCUACGGGAGGCAGCAGUAGGGAAUCUUUCACAAUGGGCGAAAGCCUGAUGGAGCAACGCCGCGUGCAGGAUGAAGGCCUUCGGGUUGUAAACUGCUUUUAUAAGCGAGAAAUACGAUGGUAACCUAUGAAUAAGGAUCGGCUAAUAACGUGCCAGCAGCCGCGGUCAUACGUAGGCUCCGAGCAUUAUACGGAGUGACUGGGGGUAAAAAGUUGCGUAGGUGGCAUAAUAAGUAGCUAGGGAAAUCUGGUGGCUCAACCAUUCAAACUAUUAGCUAAACUGUUAAGCUCGAGACCGUUAGGGGCAUCUGGAAUUUCUGGUGUAGGAGUGAAAUGCGUAGAUAUUAGAAAGAACACCGAUAGCGUAGGCAGGAUGCUGGGACGGUUCUGACACUAAGGCACGAAAGCGUAGGGAGCAAACGGGAUUAGAUACCCGUGUAGUC